rnacentral:rRNA from 1 species
AUACGGAGGAUCCGAGCGUUAUCCGGAUUUAUUGGGUUUAAAGGGAGCGUAGGUGGAUUGUUAAGUCAGUUGUGAAAGUUUGCGGCUCAACCGUAAAAUUGCAGUUGAAACUGGCAGUCUUGAGUACAGUAGAGGUGGGCGGAAUUCGUGGUGUAGCGGUGAAAUGCUUAGAUAUCACGAAGAACUCCGAUUGCGAAGGCAGCUCACUAGACUGCAACUGACACUGAUGCUCGAAAGUGUGGGUAUCAAACAGGAUUAGAUACCCUGGUAGUCCACACAGUAAACGAUGAAUACUCGCUGUUUGCGAUAUACAGUAAGCGGCCAAGCGAAAGCAUUAAGUAUUCCACCUGGGGAGUACGCCGGCAACGGUGAAACUCAAAUGAAUCGACGGGG